GAGAUAGCAUGCCAGAAAACACAUUUAGUAGACAUACGCUUAGAGAGAUAAUGCAAUAUGAAGCCUGAGAGAACAUUUGGAAUGCCCAAUUCCCAAUGUGCUCUAAGUCCUCGUGGUGGCGUAGUGACUCGCCUCAAUCCGGAUGGCGGAGGACAAAUCUCAGUUGCCUCCACGUCUGAGACCGUCAAUCCGCGCAUCUUAUCACGAGGCUUGUUGAGCGCAUUACCGCAGAGACCUAGCACGUGUGGAGGCUUCACACUAUUCUCCGGGGCAUCCACGCACAACUCACCUCGUGCCCCACCGAAAGCAAGAACCACAUUAUGGUGACCAUGAGGAGGUUAACCCAACGUGUCUCUACCCAACCUAGCAACCGGGCCAAUUGGUUGCUUAGGAAGCCUGACUGGAGUCACUCAGCACACCCUGGAUUCAAAUUUGCAACUCUACUCUUAGAUUCCAGCUGGUUUUGAAAAGAGCUGUUCGCUCACACACAUGAGCUGAGCCUCAUCCUGCAGUGCUGUCUGUAUUCUCUAGGCUUAGCACAGUGAACAGUGGCACCUCCCUGACUGCAAUUUUCCAUUUAAACAUGGCAGAGAUGACACCCUUUUACCAGAGGGAGACAGAACCAGCAUGUUUACUCGACAUUCUUGAAAGGUUUAUAUUGUUUUAUCCUAAGUUGUUGAAUGCUAUUCCUAUUCAGAACUUGUUGCUAUUUCGAGACAUCUCAGUGACCCCAAGGAUGAGGAUAGUGUUAGAUUGGGUGGGGCAGGGUGGAGGGCUGUAGAGAUGUAGAUAAUUUUAAAAGGAUGUAUGUUAAUUUCAUCAAAAUGAGAGAAAGGGACUAAGAGUGUAGUUGCAAUGCACUGUAGAUCAUCUCUGACAACAAGAAAAUAUGCUAAAUGUCUCUUAUAAAAAGCAAGUUACUGGUAGAUCUGACUAAUUUGAUGUGGAACUAGAUUUGUAAGUCAGAAAAAAGAUGUAAACUCUUUCGACAAGCCUCAGUCAUGAUUAAUUUUUAUUAAGGUGCAAUGAAAGUGAAUGGUGACUCAGUUCCUAACAUUCUGCACUAAAAUCUCCUGUUGUGUUCCACGGAGGAAAGAAAGUAAUACUUGUUUGGAACAACAUGAGGGUAAGUAAAUUAUGUCAGAAUUUUCAGAUUUGGGUGAACUAAGCCUUUAAAGAGAUAUAAAACUGACUUCUCGUUUAACUUUUAACUUUCUAAAGCAACUAAAACACUAAACUGAACUCACAUUCAGAUAAGAUAAAAAAAAAAAAAAAAAGGAUUUCUGCUGCUUGUUCAGUUUACUAAAUUAAAGUGAACUAAAUUGAACUAAAGCAACACAACUGACCAUUCGCUAAGCUAGGCACCCCUAAGCUCGUUCUGAAAAGCUUUGCAGAACUUCCCAUAGGAAUGAACGGGAGAUUGCCGUGAACAGAGCGUAUUUUGGCAAAAUAUUCUCAUAAACGGAAUUGACAAUAUUCUUACGUGGGCUGGAAUGAAGAGUGACACUGCAUAUUUACCUGAAGUUUUUUGUAAACUAAAUUGUUAAAUUACACAGUAAUUUGAUUGAAAACUGUGGAGACUGUGAAUCAGAAUUGAGGCAAAUUAUCAUC